UACGUAGGGACCAAGCGUUGUUCGGAUUUACUGGGCGUAAAGGGCGCGUAGGCGGCUUAACAAGUCACUUGUGAAAUCUCCGGGCUUAACUCGGAACGGCCAAGUGAAACUGUCAAGCUAGAGUGCAGAAGGGGCAAUCGGAAUUCUUGGUGUAGCGGUGAAAUGCGUAGAUAUCAAGAGGAACACCUGAGGUGAAGACGGGUUGCUGGGCUGACACUGACGCUGAGGCGCGAAAGCCAGGGGAGCAAAUGGG
rnacentral:rRNA from 1 species